rnacentral:misc_RNA from 1 species
GCAGCUAAACCAGUGUCAGAUUCUUUAAUUCCGCAAAGAUCGUUGACUUUCUUAGACAUCUCUUUGAUCUCCUUCUCCCUCAUCUUAAUCGUGACAGAAUACGGCCCCAAUCCAUAAGUUUUAAGGAGCGCUAUGUCGUCCUCAUCUAGCGGCGGCGGGUUCUUCUCGUCGAGAACUUCUUCAUGAUCGGGGGCCAUGACGAGAUCGGUGUAGGAUUUCGGAUCGACUGCGGCCGAGGGGCAACAACUGCGAGAUUUGGUUUGUCGGUGCCGAUUUUU